AGCUUUUCUUUUUCCAAACAGCAAAGAGUAAUAAUACCCUGUUCCAGUAUGAAAAAUCCCAUAAAAUCACAAUAAUACAAUCUAGAAUAUGGUUUAGUUAUUUUACAAAGGAAGCCUUUUUGAGAGAUGCUUAUUAUUAUGCAUCCAAACACAACUAAGAUGUAGCGAUUCACACUUCAAAUUUACCAACGAAUUCAUAUUUGUCUGUAGAAAAACUAUUGACAACUCUUGCAGCAGAGACGCAAUACCAUAAUUUGCUGCUACAUUUACAAACAAAUAACCCAAAACCUUAAACAGAAACAUCCCACGAGGCUUGCAGCAAAGACGCAAAAUACCAUAUUGCUGCCACAUUUUUACAAAUAAAUGUCUCGAAACACACUUUGGCGAUCCCGGCUGCAGGACCCUGGCUGUUGCUUAGUUGCUGCUGCUGCCGCCACCAAAAAGGUAACCCAAAGAAGAACCUCCUCCGGGAGCAGCAUGAACCUUAGUUGAUGGUCGAUCCUGAGACAAAGCAAUGGUUCUAAACACACAAAAUGCGAAGCAUUGGACUGGACCUAGAGGAGUUGAUGGACAAAAUGAUACCAGAAACAUGACAAGUAUGCACUCACUAAUCACUACAUUAAAUCACUAACUCUCAGGCUCUGUCCUAAAUCCUAAUCAAUUCGUUGUGGAGCUUUUCUGUUUCCUCUAUCCAGUUACCUUUUGGUACAUGAUGAAUUAGUUAAGGAAAUAUACAUCCCUUAUAUAUCAAAUAUCACAAACAGCAAUUUGAAUUUAUCCUUCAUGUGAGAACUAAAAUUUGGAUGGUUGUCACCACAUGCCUACUUAGCAUUAUUGUUGUGCCGGAUGCCAAGAAUUGAACCACACAUAGUAAUCAGAUUGUAAGAGAAACACAUCAUCAUCCAAUCAAGAUAACAAAGGAAUGGAAUUGGAUAGAAUGAAAAGAAACCAAGAACUUCAUAAUGCCAAAAUACCACAAUCAAGUAACUUCAUCAAAACCCACCAAACACAUAAUCUUGUUUCACCAGAGACAUACCGUGAUAAAAUUGCAAGUACUCUGACCAUCUGCUCUGACGUAGUUGUUGGUGGUGCUACUAUGAAUCCCUGCAGGAAUCUGCUUGCUAACGUCUACUGGCUUAGGAGCGGCAUUAGGCUUUGGCGAAGGUUCUUGACUAGCAACACUACUCUCACUCGGUGCAGCUUGUGCUUUCCCCACUGCUGGUUUUGGAGCCUCACCGCUACCAAACAAGUAACCCAACGAACUCUGCCCUCCACCGCUGCUAACUCCACGACCAAUAUCUCCUAUUCGUCUAUGAUCAAAAGUUACAAGCUUAAUCUGGGCAAUGCAGAUGGGAAGUGACAAUCAGAACCUGAUCAAAUACUAAAUUUUGUAUGUCUAUGUAGAAAUUCCAAGAGAAUACAAACUAAUAGAUAGCCCUGAUUUCAACUAUGUAGAGAAUCUUAUUUCCUCCAACUUUAAUUAUCCAAACAAAUAUCAACUUUCAGUUUCUGAAACAAUAUUUUGCUUUAAUCUAAGGCUGCAGGAAACCAAUAAUCAAAAAUUAAGGAUCCCACUAUAUAAACAUCAGUAUUAACCCAAUAGGAAAUGGCUGGCAUGAGCAGCAACUUUGAACAUCAAUAAUUAUGCAGAACUUAAUUUAUUCUUCAUGAAUUUAACUAAUUGCAAUUACAACUCCAUAAAUAUGAUACAUAACACUCCACCAGAAAAUAUCAUAGCCCACAAAUCAAAUCAACAGCUAUAUACAAUUGAGCAAACAAUUCGAAAACAUAUCACGCAUCAGUAAAGUGAAAUGAGUUGGAUUCAAGAACAUACUUUUCUAAUUACCUUUCACCUUUUCUUGAUCAGAUCUACCGUAUGAAGCCAUGAAAAAUAUUAUGGAGCACGAGGAUACUGCUUCAGUCAUUUAUUGAAUCUUCCAGAGGGGAGGAGCUAGAAUUUAUUAUCGGAAGGACUUUAUCAAGUGAAGCCACUGAGUGAAGGCAUAUUUCGGAGAUAUUCCAGUCUGCAUAAACCAUUACACGCAACAAGACACAAAUGCAAAUACAUAUAAACCGGGCCACACUUUUAAAAGGAGCAUGAGUGAGGGCUAUGAUUUAUUCUGAGAUCCCUUAACUAGAUCAAAAUAACUAUAUCCACNUAGUUUACUUAUUCAAUUUUGAAUAUUGUAAUUUGUAUCUUAUAAUAUUUUUUUGUAUACAUAGAAUAAAUUCAAUUUUUAUGCAUUAUUUUGAUUGUCAAUGUGUUAGAAUUAUUGUACUUUCAUUGUAUUUCAAUUUUCAACACAAGUCAUUUAAUAAAAAAAAAGCACAAGCAUUACUUAAGAAUUAAGAUGACAUAACAAAAUAUUAUGUUAAAAAUAUAUUAAUUGUCAUGUUUAUAAAAUAUAAAUUUUCAACAAGUCAUUUAAUUUAAAAAUAUGACAUAAAAGAUAUUACAUGUUUAUAUUUUCGAUUUCAACACAUGUUUAUAUUUUAUAUUGAAAGUUGAAUUAAAAUUUUGAAAUUUCAUCACAAAUCAUUUAAUUUCAUAAAAUAUAAAUUUUCAACAAGUCAUUUAAUUUAAAAAUAUGACAUAAAAGAUAUUACAUGUUUAUAUUUUCGAUUUCAACACAUGUUUAUAAUUUAUAUUUAAAGUUGAAUUAAAAUUUUGAAAUUUCAUCACAAAUCAUUUAAUUUCAUAAAAUAUACAUUUUCAACACAAGUCAUUUAAUUUAAAAAUAUGACAUAAAUCAUUUAAUUGCAUAAAAGGAAAAAAAAUAUGACAUAAAUCAUUUAAUUUCAUCACAAUCAUUAAAUUUUCUACACAAGUCAUUUAUAUUAUAUAUUUUAAGAUUUAAGUUGAAUUAGAAUUUUGAAAUUUCAUCACAAAUCAUUUAAUUUCAUAAAAAAGAAUACAAAAAAAAAAAAUAAAAAAAAGGAAAAAGCCCGGAACCGCCGGUUCAGGGUCAGAAAACCGGCCCUUUACAUUUCAUCCGGGCCAGUUCAGGUUCGCCGGAUUCUCGACCCUGAACCGCCGGUUCGGGCCCGGAACCGACGGCACCCCUAGCGGAGGAGGAGCAGGAACAAUUCCCCAUCUCCGACGAACAUCUUCCAAGACCUCAUCAAAAUGGCGCUCAUAAUACACACACAUCAGAUCAGUGCAUCUCACGCCUGCACGGAGAGCCCAAGGGAAGUAAUGCUGGUAGAACAAAUUCCUCUGACUUUGGCUGAAUCGGUUGCCCCCCUGCAACCGAUAGGGCGCACAUGGGGAGAAGCAUCUGCUCAAAUUCUAUGACCUUAACUACAGAUCUUAUUAUCUCAGUUGAUGAUUGAUGAAUAAGCUUUUAAUGAACUCCUCCACAGGCUGUACUACUGGAGCGCCCUCGUGUCAUCUCUGCUAACGUAGGGCAUGCAUGGGACCUUCCGCCAAACACAUUUGGUGCGGCAUAUGCUAAGUUUAUGGGAUCCAGGAACUUCUCUCCUGAUGACAGACCACCUGUCAAGUUCAUGGAAACAGAAGAAAUAGCCUAUGUUGCAACACGCGCUCGUGAAGUGCACGACUUCUGGCACACCCUGUUUGACCUACCUACCAAUUUGAUUGGCGAAUCAGCAUUGAAGGUCAUAGAAUUUGAGCAGAUGCUUCUCCCCAUGUGCGCCCUAUCGGUUGCAGGGGGGCAACCGAUUCAGCCAAAGUCAGAGGAAUUUGUUCUACCAGCAUUACUUCCCUUGGGCUCUCCGUGCAGGCGUGAGAUGCACUGAUCUGACGUGUGUGUAUUAUGAGCGCCAUUUUGAUGAGGACUUCGAAGAUGUUCGUUGGAGAUGGGGAAUUGUUCCUGCUCCUCCUCCCCCGCUACGUACAGCCUGAAAUCAACACGUAGUUCUUUCCCCUUAAGAAUAAAGCAGAGAGCUUUUCUUUCCUUACAAUGUGAUAGUAGCCUUUCUGAUCUUGUAUCAUAAUUUUAUUGGCUUAUUUUUGUAACAGGAUCUGUUUUUUAGGAGAUUUCUUUUUCCAAACAGCAAAGAGUAAUAAUACCCUGUUCCAGUAUGAAAAAUCCCAUAAAAUCACAAUAAUACAAUCUAGAAUAUGGUUUAGUUAUUUUACAAAGGAAGCCUUUUUGAGAGAUGCUUAUUAUUAUGCAUCCAAACACAACUAAGAUGUAGCGAUUCACACUUCAAAUUUACCAACGAAUUCAUAUUUGUCUGUAGAAAAACUAUUGACAACUCUUGCAGCAGAGACGCAAUACCAUAAUUUGCUGCUACAUUUACAAACAAAUAACCCAAAACCUUAAACAGAAACACCCCACGAGGCUUGCAGCAAAGACGCAAAAUACCAUAUUGCUGCCACAUUUUUACAAAUAAAUGUCUCGAAACACACUUUGGCGAUCCCGGCUGCAGGACCCUGGUUGUUGCUUAGUUGCUGCUGCUGCCGCCACCAAAAAGGUAACCCAAAGAAGAACCUCCUCCGGGAGCAGCAUGAACCUUAGUUGAUGGUCGAUCCUGAGACAAAGCAAUGGUUCUAAACACACAAAAUGCGAAGCAUUGGACUGGACCUAGAGGAGUUGAUGGACAAAAUGAUACCAGAAACAUGACAAGUAUGCACUCACUAAUCACUACAUUAAAUCACUAACUCUCAGGCUCUGUCCUAAAUCCUAAUCAAUUCGUUGUGGAGCUUUUCUGUUUCCUCUAUCCAGUUACCUUUUGGUACAGUUAAGGAAAUAUACAUCCCUUAUAUAUCAAAUAUCACAAACAGCAAUUUGAAUUUAUCCUUCAUGUGAGAACUAAAAUUUGGAUGGUUGUCACCACAUGCCUACUUAGCAUUAUUGUUGUGCCGGAUGCCAAGAAUUGAACCACACAUAGUAAUCAGAUUGUAAGAGAAACACAUCAUCAUCCAAUCAAGAUAACAAAGGAAUGGAAUUGGAUAGAAUGAAAAGAAACCAAGAACUUCAUAAUGCCAAAAUACCACAAUCAAGUAACUUCAUCAAAACCCACCAAACACAUAAUCUUAUUUCACCGGAGACAUACCGUGAUAAAAUUGCAAGUACUCUGACCAUCUGCUCUGACGUAAUUGUUGGUGGUGCUACUAUGAAUCCCUGCAGGAAUCUGCUUGCUAACGUCUACUGGCUUAAGAGCGGCAUUAGGCUUUGGCGAAGGUUCUUUACUAGCAACACUACUCUCACUCGGUGCAGCUUGUGCUUUCCCCACUGCUGGUUUUGGAGCCUCACCGCUACCAAACAAGUAACCCAACGAACUCUGCCCUCCACCGCUGCUAACUCCUCGACCCAUAUCUCAUAUUCGUCU
rnacentral:lncRNA from 1 species